UCAUGCGUUACAGAGUAUAAAACGCUUUUCUGUACUAAUUAUUGCCAAUAUAUUUCUACUGGCAUAAAAACAGACACACAGGACAAUGGAGCAGAAUGGAGAUCUCAGACAUAAAUCUACACAUUUACAAACAACUCAUCUCUGACAAAGGCAUCAAGAACAUACACUGGGCAAAGAACAGUCUUUUCAAUAAAUAAUCCUGGGAAAACUGAAUAACUAAAUGAAGAAGGAUAAAAUUAAACCCCUCUUACCAUAUACAAAAAUCAAAUCGAAUAAAAAUAGAUUAAAGACUUGAAUCUAAGACCUGAAACUAUGAAGUUACUAAAAGAAAGCAUAGGAGAAAUGCUCCAGGACAUUGGUCCGGGCAGAUUUUUUUGCGUAAGACCUCAGAAGCACAGGCAACAAAGGCAAAAAUAGACAAUGGGAUUAUAUCAAGCUAAAAAGCCUCAAGCAAAGGAAA
rnacentral:lncRNA from 10 species